UUUCCCUACGGGACGCAGCAGUGGGGGAUAUUGCACAAUGGGGGGAACCCUGAUGCAGCGACGCCGCGUGGGUGAAGGAGCGUCUCGGCGCGUAAAGCCCUAUCGGCAGGGAAGAAGGAGGACGGUACCUGACUAAGAAGCCCCGGCUAACUACGUGCCAGCAGCCGCGGUAAUACGUAGGGGGCCAGCGGUAUCCGGAUUUACUGGGUGUAAAGGGGGCGCAGACGGCAGCGUAAGCCAGGAGUGAAAGCCCGGGGCCCAACCCCGGGACU
rnacentral:rRNA from 1 species